rnacentral:tRNA from 1 species
AAGGGUAAAGUUUUACAACAACCAAUUUACAUUUGGAAAAUUCCCCAGUUAUUGGGGAUGUCCUUA